rnacentral:rRNA from 1 species
UGCGAACCCAGGUCAGGCGGGACUACCCGCUGAGUUUAAGCAUAUCAAUAA